rnacentral:lncRNA from 1 species
CCACCUCCAAUCGGGCUUUCAGCUUUUUUAUUUCUUUUUGUAGGCUAGAGUUCUUCCUGCAAGCGGCCGCGUUCCUCCUCACCUGAGCUUCGAUCUCCACUACCUCGCCCAGUAGCCGAGAAUUCUCCUCAAUAGCUUUCCUCAAUGUCGCCUCGACAUCUUCGGCUCUCCUCUCGACGGCAUUGGCUUUCACGAAGAUUUCUCUGACUUCCCUCUCGGCCUUCUCUUUCACUCUUCUGAGCA